rnacentral:rRNA from 1 species
AACGAACGCUGGCGGCAUGCCUAACACAUGCAAGUCGAACGAGACCUUCGGGUCUAGUGGCGCACGGGUGCGUAACGCGUGGGAACCUGCCCUUAGGUUCGGAAUAACUCCCCGAAAGGGGUGCUAAUACCGGAUAAUGUCUUCGGACCAACGAUUUAUCGCCUUUGGAUGGGCCCGCGUUGGAUUAGCUAGUUGGUAGUGUAAAAGCCUACCAAGGCGACGAUGCAUAGCUGGUCUGAGAGGAUGAUCAGCCACACUGGGACUGAGACACGGCCCAGACUCCUACGGGAGGCAGCAGUGGGGAAUAUUGGACAAGGAGCGAAAGCCUGAUCCAGCAAUGCCGGGUGAGUGAGGAAGGCCUUAGGGUUGUAAAGCUCUUUUACCCGGGAUGAUAAUGACAGUACCGGGAGAAUAAGCUCCGGCUAACUCCGUG